rnacentral:tRNA from 1 species
CGCCAUGUAGCUCAGUUGGUUAAGGGGGCGUCAGAUUUGCACCAAAAGCUAAAGGUCGUCGGUUCGAUUCCGAUCCUAAGCGC